UACGAAGGGGGCUAGCGUUGUUCGGAAUCACUGGGCGUAAAGCGCACGCAGGCGGCUUGAUAAGUCGGGGGUGAAAUCCCGGAGCUCAACUUCGGAAUUGCCUUUGAUACUGUCUGUCUUGAGUCCGGGAGAGGUGAGUGGAAUUCCUAGUGUAGAGGUGAAAUUCGUAGAUAUUAGGAAGAACACCAGUGGCGAAGGCGGCUCACUGGCCCGGUACUGACGCUCAUGUGCGAAAGCGUGGGGAGCAAACAGG
rnacentral:rRNA from 1 species